CGAUCCUUCGGGAUAGUGGCGGACGGGUGAGUAACACGUGGGAACGUGCCUUUUGGUUCGGAAUAACACAGGGAAACUUGUGCUAAUACCGGAUGAGCCCUACGGGGGAAAGAUUUAUCGCCGAAAGAGCGGCCCGCGUUAGAUUAGCUAGUUGGUGGGGUAAAGGCCCACCAAGGCUCCGAUCUAUAGCUGGUCUGAGAGGAUGAUCAGCCACACUGGGACUGAGACACGGCCCAGACUCCUACGGGAGGCAGCAGUGGGGAAUCUUGCGCAAUGGGCGAAAGCCUGACGCAGCCAUGCCGCGUGAAUGAUGAAGGUCUUAGGAUUGUAAAAUUCUUUUACCAGGGACGAUAAUGACGGUACCUGGAGAAAAAGCCCCGGCUAACUUCGUGCCAGCAGCCGUGGUAAUACGAAGGGGGCUAGCGUUGCCCGGAAUUACUGGGCGUAAAGGGAGCGUAGGCGGGUUAUCAAGUUGGAGGUGAAAGCCCAGGGCUCAACCUUGGAAUUGCCUUC
rnacentral:rRNA from 1 species